rnacentral:rRNA from 1 species
UACGUAGGGUGCAAGCGUUGUCCGGAAUUAUUGGGCGUAAAGAGCUCGUAGGCGGUGUGUCGCGUCGGCCGUGAAAACCUGGGGCUCAACUCUGGGCGUGCGGUCGAUACGGGCAUCACUGGAGUUCGGCAGGGGAGACUGGAAUUCCUGGUGUAGCGGUGAAAUGCGCAGAUAUCAGGAGGAACACCAGCGGCGAAGGCGGCGCUCUGGGCCGGUACUGACGCUGAGGAGCGAAAGCGUGGGGAGCAAACAGG